rnacentral:lncRNA from 1 species
GUCAUCAAAAUCCUCAGGUGGACGUGCCCGACAUGGCGCAACUACUACUGGACGACGCGCUUGGCAAGAGCAACUCGGAGACGAAAAAGAACGAAGUCCCUCAGACAAAUGGCGUACCAUUGUCC